CUGGGACAGGCCAGCCCAGUGGACUGUUCUGAGGAACUUGGAGCAGAUCUUGGAGGACAUGGAGGUGCUCAAAGCUGACAGAAGGAGGCCCAGACCUUCAGACCUUCAGACCUUCAGACUGGAGGUAGAGGGGAGUCGUUGUUGAAUUCCUUUGAGGCGGACAAGGAGGGGAAUUCAGGAAAAGGAAAAGAAAAGAUGUAAUCCCUGAAACACGCGAGUGCUUGACAUAAACAAACACGCUGGGAGGAUUUCAAAGGGGACGGCUGCUCGCCGGGAAUCCUCUCAUGUGCUGAUUGGAGAUAAGGAAGCAAAUGCAGUGCAGAGAGGUCCUGACAGCUGGGGGGCAGGCGUAUCUCUGCCCGCGUCCCCUCAGCCGGCCGGACAGCUGCUCCUUCCCCUCGUCCUGCCCUCUAACAGUGGAGCCUUGUGCCGGCGUCCACCUCUCCUGAAUGUCAGCACUCAUUGAUUUUGAGAAGAUGGGUUUGAGAGGAGGGAGCAAGAAGAGCGUGAUUUCCAUAUAAUCUGCAUACGAAGGAGAGAAUGUCAGUCUUCCUGACCCCGCCAUCUGCUCCGAAGCCUUCCGGCGUGACCGCACACCUACAGUACGGCAACGGCUUCCACAAGUUCACCUGGAACUCCCAAACCACAAAGCGCAAAUACAAGCCCCAUCUCCUUUUUACUCGGCCCAUAUGAAGCAAAUAGAGACGGAAAACAUCUGUGAGGAGAACCGAAGUUUGAUGUAAAGCCAUCAGCAAAUCCGCGUGAUAAAGCUCCUCUGAAAUGUCAGCCACUUUUCAUCAUUUCUGACGCAGAGCUUUUGGGUGUUUUUCAAAAGUCUUCACAGCGCAUUGAGGACUGGGUGUCUGAGUGACUGCGGUCUAACUGAGUAUGUCUGUGGGCGUUUGGAAGUGUGUUGAAGCGCACGUGUGGUUUGCCGUGUUUAUGUACACGUGUGUAUGUGUGUGUGUGUGUGUGUGUGUGGUCCGGUGCAGAACAAAAGCGGACACUCAUCAGCAGAGUUGGCGUGCGCACAACCCAUUCGGAGCAGGAAAGAGAGGCAGGCUUUCAUCUUCGCUCACGCUUGCUGAGACCCCAAUGGGGACCACAUGGCUGAGUCAUGCAAGGAAUCCUUUUGUGUGAAUAAUACUAAAAGUUUAGGGGUCCCCCGCUGUCGGAGGCCUGAGAUGUGGCUUCAGAGCCCCCAUCAGGGGGUCAGGGGAAGCCAAUGAAAUCUCUGUAAGGCACAGAUAACAACCUGCCACGGGGGGAAGGCAGGCAAUGGAUAAAACAGUCAAAAUCCCAACCAGCUGUCUGACGUCCUGCAUUACUCUGCUAAUUACAAACUCAGUGGGCUUCCUGAUCCCCACCCCCCUCUCCUCCCUCACCACCUACUGUUGUCCCGGCCUCACCUCUGUUACAUCUUUGAGCCAGGCGUUUAGUUUAGGAGGCUCUCCUAAUUGAUGAAAGAGAGCAAGUAAUGCAACUUCAAACCGCAGUCUGACUUCAAGUGCUCAUAAAAAUGCCAGGGAAAUUGGAGUUCUGCGUACCUCUCGCGCUCAUUCAUUAGCUGCGGCGAGGCUAUACCUCACAUCAACACGCAUUCGUUCAUCAGCCUCGGUAAACACCAGGCUGUCCAUUCCUUCAGCUAUGUGUUGUUUUUUUAAUUGUUGUCUGUGAUGUUGUUUUGGUUUGCAGAUUAAGGUCCUAGUCUGGAGUUGUUUGGACAGACGCGCCUGUCAGAGUGAAAGCAGGGCAGACCUUCAGCUGACAGGUAGUUUCAGGGGGAUCAGAGAAGGUCACUCUGCUGAGCAUGAUGGGUAAUAAAGGGGAGGCAAGGCCAGUUUAUUUGUGGAGCACAUUUCAGCAACAAAGCAAUUCAGAGUGCUUUACAUAAAAAGUGCAAAAGAAACACAUUAUAAAAGGACAUUUGAAUACAAUUAAAAACAGUCCAAGAGAAAUGAACACAAGCUAGAUAGAAUAAGACGGGUGUAAAAUACAAGAAUAAAAGUCACAGUGCUGUGUUAGAAUUUUUAAAAUAAAUUUAAUAAACAGAAAAGUUUUCAGCUUUGAUUGUAAAAUACCACCGUUUGGUAAAAGCGCCCCUCGGUAUCGGAAACCAACGCACGGAGGUGCCCUUUAGCAUGAGUCAGUGACGAACCAGGCUUUCAACUAACUCCAAUGUAAACCAAACCGCGGCGUUAUUCAACGGUCGGAGCAAGUGAUGUAGUAUUAAUAGCGUGAGAGUCCGUU